GCGGAAUUCGCAGGCUGGGGCGCUGAGUCUCUCCUGGGCCGCACCAACUACGUAGCGCCAGGACCGUCGAGCCCCGAAACCGCCCGCUCGCGGCCACUCCCAAGCCAGAGCGGGAAAGCUCAGCCAGGUAGUCGCCAGCCACCCACGAACCCGCUUCCCGAUAGUUCUUCCCACAACUCCCGUGCGCUUCUCUCCUCGCCAAGAGAGCCUUCCUCUGACAAGGUCCUCCCGCCCCCCACCUCACAACAACCCCUUACUUUGCCCGGCAUCCAGGCUUAAAGGGGACGCCGCCUCUGUGGGCGCCGGGGGAAAAAAAAGCGCGCGGGAAAGAAGCGAGAGGUCCGGCUGAGAAAGUUGAAGAGGACGAGCGAAGCAAGAGGAAUCACUCACUUCCAUCUCAAAACAUGAAACUGGAGCUCUACACUUAUUGUCAAGUCCUGCAAGAUUUCUACAGUAUACAGCUGGCAAGCUAAUGUGAGAGAGCAUGUGAGAAGCAUAGACGUCUGUAGAAGUGAUGUCACAAAGCAUAUCGAAAAGGGGUGGAGCUUAUGUCACAACACUGCAACGAUGCUAUUGUUAUUCUGCUCUUUGCCACUCUCCUCCAGGAUGUCGCUAGUGAGAAGUAACGGAUUCCCCUGUGCAGCUUUGUCUAACUGACUAGGGGCAGUGCUCUUCUUCGUUUCUUAGCAGAGGGAGAGACGCAGGAACCUGAAACUUGGACCAGGAGAUGCCAGAGUUGAAGAAAAAGAACUGGAAAAAAUCAUGAAAUACCACGACCUGGCCAUCGAAACUACACGGCUAUGGAUGAAACAUGUAACAGUGAUACCCAUUGUCAUCGGGGCACUUGGUAUCAUGUCCAAAAAUUUUAUAAGAUACAUCAACAAAUUGCAGCUUCCUGCAAUAACACCAGCGGAACUGCAAAAAACUGUGCUACUUGGAACAUCGUACAUCUUAAGGAGGUGCUUGGCUGAUAUCUAGGACACCGGCAGCAACCCGAAUCAACCAUUAGCACCAGUCAAUGGUAUUUGUGAUGCAUUUUUGAAUGUUCAGUUGACUGAGUUUCAUGUUUCAUGAAUAAAGUAAAUAAUAAUAAUAAUAAAAAAACCUUUUAAACAAUAAACUUACAGGACACAGAGAAUCAGUAUUAUUAUGGUUGCUUGCACAGUCAGCCAGAUGUUGAGACUUGAUUUGACAUUUUUAUCCACCCAUUGAGUCCUUCCCAAAGAACUGAGAUAGGCAGAUCUUAUUGUUAAAGGUAUCAUCACAGGAUGUAAGUUGUUCCAAGUAAACCUGCCUUUUGCAAUUGACCAAUGGAGAUUUUUGUAAAUGCUGAUGGUUUCAAAUGUUCAAAGUCCCAGAGCACUUUAU